UGGGAAUUUUGGACAAUGGGCGAAAGCCUGAUCCAGCAAUGCCGCGUGUGUGAAGAAGGCCUUCGGGUUGUAAAGCACUUUUGUCCGGAAAGAAAAUCCUUGGCUCUAAUACAGUCGGGGGAUGACGGUACCGGAAGAAUAAGCACCGGCUAACUACGUGCCAGCAGCCGCGGUAAUACGUAGGGUGCAAGCGUUAAUCGGAAUUACUGGGCGUAAAGCGUGCGCAGGCGGUUUGCUAAGACCGAUGUGAAAAUCCCCGGGCNCAACCUGGGAACUGCAUUGGUGACUGGCAGGCUAGAGUAUGGCAGAGGGGGGUAGAAUUCCACGUGUAGCAGUGAAAUGCGUAGAGAUGUGGAGGAAUACCGAUGGCGAAGGCAGCCCCCUGGGCCAAUACUGACGCUCAUGCACGAAAAGCGUGGGGAGCAAAACAGGAUUAGAUACCCCUGGUAGUCCACGCCCUAAAACGAUGUCAACUAGUUGUUGGGGAUUCAUUUCCUUAGUAACGUAGCUAAACGCGUGAAGUUGACCGCCUGGGGGAGUACGGUCGCAAGAUUAAAAACUCAAAUGAAUUGACGGGGUCAU
rnacentral:rRNA from 1 species